rnacentral:rRNA from 1 species
UACGAAGGGGGCUAGCGUUGCUCGGAAUCACUGGGCGUAAAGGGUGCGUAGGCGGCUCUUUAAGUCUGGGGUGAAAUCCUGGAGCUCAACUCCAGAACUGCCUUUGAUACUGGAGAGCUUGAGUCCGGAAGAGGUGAGUGGAACUCCGAGUGUAGAGGUGAAAUUCGUAGAUAUUCGGAAGAACACCAGUGGCGAAGGCGGCUCACUGGCCCGGUACUGACGCUGAGGUGCGAAAGCGUGGGGAGCAAACAGG